GAAAUAUUAGGAAUUAACAUUGUAGCGAUUAGUUAGAUUAAUUCAUUGUUAGAAUCAAUCAGGUAAUUAGGUUUAAUCAAAAAAUUUAAUUAGAUUUUGAUCAUGAUGUUUUAGAAUUAAUUCAAUUGUUAACCUUGCAAUGAUUAGUAUAUCUUGCCAUUAUUUUUUCUAAUUUCAUUGUUAACCUUUCCAUGAUUAGUAUAUCUUGUCAUUAGAUUUGAAUUGAUUUAAACCAUUGAAUAUGCUUAUACUUGAUGUACUAUUCUCAUGUAACUUGAUAU
rnacentral:lncRNA from 1 species